rnacentral:rRNA from 1 species
UACGGAGGGGGCUAGCGUUGUUCGGAAUUACUGGGCGUAAAGCGCACGUAGGCGGCUUUGUAAGUUAGAGGUGAAAGCCCGGGGCUCAACUCCGGAAUUGCCUUUAAGACUGCAUCGCUAGAAUUGUGGAGAGGUAAGUGGAAUUCCGAGUGUAGAGGUGAAAUUGUAGAUAUUCGGAAGAACACCAGUGGCGAAGGCGACUUACUGGACACAUAUUGACGCUGAGGUGCGAAAGCGUGGGGAGCAAACAGG